AGGGAAUGAGAUGGCAGUUUCAUUCGUAGGUUUAUGAUGGGUAAAGAUUUAGAUCGGGAAGGUUGAUGGCCUUUGGGAAGGUUCAACAACCCCGGACACGAUUCGAACAACCUCACGACCUAUCUGAGGCAAUUUGGGACCACACUGGAUCAUUUCAACCGAGACCGUGGAAAGAUCCGGGAGUGCGAGUUUUUUAGUAUCUAGUAUCGUGAAUCUGUUGUGGCUAAAGUCCAGUUAAAGAGUGUUGUGCGGUUCGUUAGUAUUUUUGUGCGAGUAUCGUAGAAAUAGAAGCCGUUUGACGGCUUCUUAUUGCCAGUUUUUGAAAACGAGAUUCGAACCGACGCCUCUACCGACCUCUGGAUAUCGACCGCAUCGCCCAACCCUCUCGGCCACCAUUUUCGUCGAUCCACGCGCUCUCGUUGAAAACUCUCCGAGUUGCGGCUUUUGGUCCGUGAACCGGAAAGGGACCGCACCGUCACCAUUGCGUCCGUCUUGGCCACGCCGGCCACCUUCAAAACGAAUCAUUUCGUCCGUAGCCGAGCAGUCAUUCCGGCUGCCCACGGAAUCCAUUUUGUUGCCAUCUUCGGUGGCCAUCGUUGUUGUCCGAACCCCGCCAUCCGACCGCUAUUGUGUAGCAGCCAUCGAUCGCCAUUGCGAUCCGCAGCGUCCAACGACACGCGUUGGUAACCGUUCCUCCGCAAGACCAACCAUCCUCGAACAGUCCGUUCGCCGGAUCGCGAACCUCGCGGUCACUUGGUGGAGUUGCCGCAAUACCAUUUCGACAGCGAGCCACAUCAAGAAAGGUCGGUAAAGCAGAGCACCAGAAAACAUCCACGGUACCGUGAGUAGAAAUGCGCAUGCGUAAAUGAAUUGACACACACACAUAAAAGAAAGCUAGCUAAAAUUAUAAAUACCGCACACAUGAAGUAGACAGACAAGAUAAAGUAGAGAGAAAGGAAAGGAAAAGAGGAAGUAAAAUGAUCCUAGGAUAAGUUUGUAAUUCAAAUAAAAGCAUGCUUGUUAAUCGUUGCCGU